rnacentral:tRNA from 1 species
GUCUGUGUAGCUCAAUUGGUCAAGGCAUGGUGCUUGCAAUGCCAGGGUUGUGGGUUCAAUUCACAUGAGGGACC